rnacentral:rRNA from 1 species
GCUUCUUUUUCCCCGGAGCUUGCUCCACCGGAAAAAGAGGAGUGGCGAACGGGUGAGUAACACGUGGGUAACCUGCCCAUCAGAAGGGGAUAACACUUGGAAACAGGUGCUAAUACCGUAUAACAAUCAAAACCGCAUGGUUUUGAUUUGAAAGGCGCUUUCGGGUGUCGCUGAUGGAUGGACCCGCGGUGCAUUAGCUAGUUGGUGAGGUAACGGCUCACCAAGGCCACGAUGCAUAGCCGACCUGAGAGGGUGAUCGGCCACAUUGGGACUGAGACACGGCCCAAACUCCUACGGGAGGCAGCAGUAGGGAAUCUUCGGCAAUGGACGAAAGUCUGACCGAGCAACGCCGCGUGAGUGAAGAAGGUUUUCGGAUCGUAAAACUCUGUUGUUAGAGAAGAACAAGGAUGAGAGUAACUGUUCAUCCCUUGACGGUAUCUAACCAGAAAGCCACGGCUAACUACGUGCCAGCAGCCGCGGUAAUACGUAGGUGGCAAGCGUUGUCCGGAUUUAUUGGGCGUAAAGCGAGCGCAGGCGGUUUCUUAAGUCUGAUGUGAAAGCCCCCGGCUCAACCGGGGAGGGUCAUUGGAAACUGGGAGACUUGAGUGCAGAAGAGGAGAGUGGAAUUCCAUGUGUAGCGGUGAAAUGCGUAGAUAUAUGGAGGAACACCAGUGGCGAAGGCGGCUCUCUGGUCUGUAACUGACGCUGAGGCUCGAAAGCGUGGGGAGCAAACAGGAUUAGAUACCCUGGUAGUC